CAGUAGCGCGGUGGUCCCACCUGACCCCAUGCCGAACUCAGAAGUGAAACGCCGUAGCGCCGAUGGUAGUGUGGGGUCUCCCCAUGCGAGAGUAGGGAACUGCCAGGC
rnacentral:rRNA from 4 species